CCUACGGGUGGCUGUAGUGGGGAAUAUUGGGCAAUGGGCGCAAGCCUGACCCAGCAACGCCGCGUGAAGGAAGAAGGCUUUCGGGUUGUAAACUUCUUUUGUCAGGGAAGAGUAGAAGACGGUACCUGACGAAUAAGCCACGGCUAACUACGUGCCAGCAGCCGCGGUAAUACGUAGGUGGCAAGCGUUGUCCGGAUUUACUGGGUGUAAAGGGCGUGCAGCCGGAGAGACAAGUCAGAUGUGAAAUCCACGGGCUCAACCCGUGAACUACAUUUGAAACUGUUUCCCUUGAGUGUCGGAGAGGUAAUCGGAAUUCCUUGUGUAGCGGUGAAAUGCGUAGAUAUAAGGAAGAACACCAGUGGCGAAGGCGGAUUACUGGACGAUAACUGACGGUGAGGCGCGAAAGCGUGGGGAGCAAACAGGAUUAGAUACCCCAGUAGUC
rnacentral:rRNA from 1 species